AACGAACGCUGGCGGCGUGCCUAAUACAUGCAAGUCGAACGAGAAAGUGGCUUCGGCCAUGAGUAAAGUGGCAGACGGGUGAGUAAUACGUAGGUAAUCUACCUCCAAGAUGGGGAUAACCUUCCGAAAGGAGGGCUAAUACCGAAUGAGACCACAGCUACCAAGGUAGCAGGGGUUAAAGGUGGCCUCUUCUUGAAAGCUAUCACUUGGAGAUGAGCUUACGCA
rnacentral:rRNA from 1 species